UACGAAGGGGGCUAGCGUUGCUCGGAAUCACUGGGCGUAAAGAGCUCGUAGGUGGUUUGUCGCGUUGUUCGUGAAAACUCACAGCUCAACUGUGGGCGUGCGGGCGAUACGGGCAGACUUGAGUACUGCAGGGGAGACUGGAAUUCCUGGUGUAGCGGUGGAAUGCGCAGAUAUCAGGAGGAACACCGGUGGCGAAGGCGGGUCUCUGGGCAGUAACUGACGCUGAGGAGCGAAAGCGUGGGGAGCGAACAGG
rnacentral:rRNA from 1 species